CGUAGGGCGCAAGCGUUGUCCGGAAUUAUUGGGCGUAAAGAGCUUGUAGGUGGCUUGUCGCGUCUGCCGUGAAAACCCGAGGCUUAACCUUGGGCGUGCGGUGGGUACGGGCAGGCUAGAGUGCGGUAGGGGAGACUGGAAUUCCUGGUGUAGCGGUGAAAUGCGCAGAUAUCAGGAGGAACACCGAUGGCGAAGGCAGGUCUCUGGGCCGUUACUGACACUGAGAAGCGAAAGCAUGGGGGAGCGAACAGGAUU
rnacentral:rRNA from 1 species